GACAGAGGGUGCAAACGUUGUUCGGAAUUACUGGGCGUAAAGCGUGUGUAGGCGGCUAAGUAAGUCGGGCGUGAAAUCCCACGGCUCAACCGUGGAAGUGCACUCGAAACUGCGUAGCUAGAGUCCUGGAGAGGAAGGUGGAAUGCUUGGUGUAGAGGUGAAAUUCGUAGAUAUCAAGCGGAACACCGGUGGCGAAGGCGGCCUUCUGGACAGUGACGUGACGCUGAGACGCGAAAGCGGUGGGGAGCAACAGGG
rnacentral:rRNA from 1 species